rnacentral:rRNA from 1 species
UGGGGAAUAUUGGACAAUGGGCGAAAGCCUGAUCCAGCCAUGCCGCGUGUGUGAAGAAGGCCUUUUGGUUGUAAAGCACUUUAAGCGAGGAGGAGGCUACUUAGAUUCAUACUCUAGGAUAGUGGACGUUACUCGCAGAAUAAGCACCGGCUAACUCUGUGCCAGCAGCCGCGGUAAUACAGAGGGUGCGAGCGUUAAUCGGAUUUACUGGGCGUAAAGCGUGCGUAGGCGGCUUCUUAAGUCGGAUGUGAAAUCCCUGAGCUUAACUUAGGAAUUGCAUUCGAUACUGGGAAGCUAGAGUAUGGGAGAGGAUGGUAGAAUUCCAGGUGUAGCGGUGAAAUGCGUAGAGAUCUGGAGGAAUACCGAUGGCGAAGGCAGCCAUCUGACCUAAUACUGACGCUGAGGUACGAAAGCAUGGGGAGCAAACAGG